AAUAUUGGACAAUGGGCGAAAGCCUGAUCCAGCCAUGCCGCGUGGGUGAAGAAGGCCUUCGGGUUGUAAAGCCCUUUUGUUGGGAAAGAAAAACAUCCGGCUAAUACCCGGAUGGAAUGACGGUACCCAAAGAAUAAGCACCGGCUAACUUCGUGCCAGCAGCCGCGGUAAUACGAAGGGUGCAAGCGUUACUCGGAAUUACUGGGCGUAAAGGGUGCGUAGGUGGUUCGUUAAGUCUGAUGUGAAAGCCCUGGGCUCAACCUGGGAAUUGCAUUGGAUACUGGCGGGCUGGAGUGCGGUAGAGGGUAGUGGAAUUCCCGGUGUAGCAGUGAAAUGCGUAGAUAUCGGGAGGAACAUCCGUGGCGAAGGCGACUGCCUGGACCAGCACUGACACUGAGGCACGAAAGCGUGGGGAGCAAACA
rnacentral:rRNA from 1 species